rnacentral:ncRNA from 1 species
AAUGAUAGAGGCGCAGGCUUCAUGAGUAGAUGUCAGUAUACGGUCGGAAACGGCUGGCAUGGAAAGGGGAGACUGCCGAAGGAAUCUGGAUAUUCCGAGAGAAGGGUUCCUGGGCUGCCGCAGAACAUGCGUCAGACUGUCACAGGGCUGUGGAGCGCUAUCAU